UGAAUAUCAGAUGCUACGGCGUCGAAGCAGUCUAUGUCAUACUUCCAAGAAAAGCUUGCACUGUCAUAAACAAAUAAUGCCUGUACCAUAACCGACACAGGUGGGUAGGUAGAGUAUACUAAGGGGCGCGAGAUAACUCUCUCUAAGGAACUCGGCAAAAUGACUCCGUAACUUCGGGAGAAGGAGUGCCUUCUUUAGAAGGUUGCAAUAACAAGAUCCAAGCAACUGUUUACCAAAAACACAGGUCUCCGCUAAGUCGUAAGACGAUGUAUGGGGGCUGACGCCUGCCCAGUGCCAGAAGGUUAAAGAAGUUGGUUAGCAUUCGCGAAGCUGAUAACUGAAGCCCUGGUGAACGGCGGCCGUAACGAUAACGGUCCUAAGGUAGCGAAAUUCCUUGUCGGGUAAGUUCCGACCCGCACGAAAGGCGUAAUGAUUUGGAUACUGUCUCGGAGAGGGACCCGGUGAAAUAGACUUGUCUGUGAAGAUGCGGACUACCUGCACCUGGACAGAAAGACCCUAUGAAGCUUUACUGUAACUUGAAAUUGAAGUUGGACUUUAUUUGCGCAGUAUAGGUGGGAGGCUUUGAGAAUAAUCUUGCGGGAUUAUUGGAGCUAUCAGUGAGAUACCACUCUUGUAAUGUUAGAUUUCUAACUUUGGAUCAUUAUCUGGUCAAAGAACAGUUUCAGGCGGGCAGUUUGACUGGGGCGGUCGCCUCCCAAACGGUAACGGAGGCGCACAAAGGUUUCCUCUGAACGGGUAGAAAUCGUAUCUAGAGUGUAAAGGCAUAAGGAAGCUUGACUGUGAGACCUACAAGUCGAGCAGGGACGAAAGUCGGUCUUAGUGAUCUGACGGUGCUGAGUGGAAAGGCCGUCACUCAACGGAUAAAAGUUACUCUAAGGAUAACAGGCUGAUCUCCCCCAAGAGUUCACAUCGACGGGGAGGUUUGGCACCUCGAUGUCGGCUCAUCGCAUCCUGGGGCGGUAGUACGUCCCAAGGGUUGGGCUGUUCGCCCAUGAAAGCGGUACGCGAGCUGGGUUCAGAACGUCGUGAGACAGUUCGGUCCAUAUCCGGUGUAGGCGUUAGAAUAUUGAGAGGAGCCUUCUCUAGUACGAGAGGACCGAGAAGGACAUACCUCUGGUGUACCAGUUAUCGUGCCAACGGUAAACGCUGGGUAGCUAUGUAUGGAGUGGAUAACCGCUGAAAGCAUCUAAGUGGGAAGCCCACCUCAAGAUAAG
rnacentral:rRNA from 1 species